UCUCUGGUGGUCCAGCGGCUAAGACUCUGCAUUCCCAAUGCAGGAGGCCUAGGUUUGAUUCCCAGUCAGGGAA
rfam:Ovis aries breed Texel chromosome 7, whole genome shotgun sequence.